rnacentral:rRNA from 1 species
GUAAGGAAUAUUGGUCAAUGGGGGCAACCCUGAACCAGCCAUGCCGCGUGAAGGAUGAAGGCGUUAUGCGUUGUAAACUUCUUUUGUAUGGGAAGAAUGACAGGGAUUCAUCCUUGGAGAGACGGUACCAUACGAAUAAGCACCGGCUAACUCCGUGCCAGCAGCCGCGGUAAUACGGAGGGUGCAAGCGUUAUCCGGAAUCACUGGGUUUAAAGGGUACGUAGGCGGAUAAAUAAGUCAGUGGUGAAAUCAACGGGCUCAACCUGUUAACUGCCCUUGAUACUGUGUAUCUUGAAGAUGAGAGAGGUAGGCGGAAUGUUGCAUGUAGCGGUGAAAUGCUUAGAUAUGCUACGGAACACCGAUUGCGAAGGCAGCUUACUAUUUCGUAAUUGACGCUGAGGCACGAAAGCGUGGGUAGCGAACAGGAUUAGAAACCCUUGUAGUCC